GCCCGGAUGGCGAAACUGGUAGACGCAAGGGACUUAAAAUCCCUCGGUGGCAACACCGUGCCGGUUCGAUCCCGGCUCCGGGCACCA
rnacentral:tRNA from 2 species